CAAAACACCGCUCCUCUCGAUCCCCUGAUGCCAUAUUCCUGGCACCGUCGCCUUCGCGGAUCCGCCGCCACAACCAUCGCUCGUUCCCGUGCGCCGCCGUCGCUCCCUCUCCCAGCGCCCGAGCAUCCCCGUCGCUCCCUCUCCCAGUGCCGCCUCCACCGCCAUGGCCCCUCCCCUUGCGCCCCGAACUGCCUCGCGCACUCGUCGCCCGUUAUACCACAGAGGAGGCGAAGACAGCGGCAGCGCGCCGCCCUACUUCGCCGGUCGCCGCCUCGGCUGCACUCGGCGGGCGCCACACGCCGUCUCCUCUCCAUGGGAGUGGCGGAUGGCAGCGAGGAAAGUGGAUCGACCUGGCCAUGGGGAUGGCACUACGACCCCUGCCAGCCUCCCGCGUCGCCGUGCCUCCCUGCAUCGUCGCCUCCGACCUCACCACGUAGCUCCUGUGACGAGUAAUGGGGAUGGAAAUAUAUCAACGAUGGGGUGUGGUUCGUUCCUGUCAGGUUUUUUUCUUUGACGCUGCCGCUCCUGGAGCACCAACUCAAAAAUUUCUCAUAUACUGGUGUUGGUCGAGCACGAGCACAAGGCGACAUUUUUGCUGGCCAUCUUGUUCAACACCUACUGUAGGGGAGGGGGAGGAGGCCGGCAACAGGAGAAGGCGCAUGCCAGCGAGGAGGGCGAGCAGAAGGGUGCAGUGGAGGACGAUCAGGGGGAGACAUGAGCGCUCAGGCCUAGGUUUGUGUUGUUCUCGACUUGAGUAUAUGGGGCUCGAAUUGUGAUGGAUAUGAGGUGAGGAAAGAAGCUUUGGUAUGCAAUUAUGGUGUACACUAGAGAAACAUGUGUGUUUUUUCCUAUGAAGACAUCUGCCCCUGCAAACCUCCACGUGCCGCCGAUGAGUUCGUCGUUGCCGAUGGGAUCGCCGCAAGGAGAUGUAUUUUUUAUCCCAGCUUCUAAUGAUGAAAAGAAGUAGUCAAGAAUAAAAUUUGAUGUCCUUUGGCACCUUACAAGAUGAUAAAGAUCAACACUGAUGUUCUGCUAACUGCAAAAUAGGAAUGCAUGCAUCAAUGGGCAUGAAGGGCGUGGGUUGAAGACCAAAUAUUCUACAUUGUUCGGUCUAUUUAAAGUGCAGAGACUUCGAAAUCAGCACGCAUGCCAGCUUUUCCUGUGAGCCCGAGUCCAUUAUCUUGCCCCGUGGCAAAAGAAAUAUAUUUCAAGUUUCUUGGGUGCGUCUGUUAGCUGCUAAGGUGGAUUUAAUCAGGCAGCUUAUUGAUCUCAAGAACUCUUCAAUCUCAGAUGGUCAUCUCCCUUUCCAGCCUACAUAGAAAGAAAAACUCAAUAGUGAUCCCAACAUCUAGAGCCACUUCUAAUCUAUGGGAGCUCAAUUCUUUUUUUAACAAGAAUGUGAGUUUGGAUGCGGUCUUCAGAUGAAUCAAGCCUGAUAUCCACAGGUGUCGUGGGCUAAUUAGCUGUGAGUUCCAAAGAUGCAAUGUAUUUUGUACCCUCCAUUUGGAAAUACUUGUCGCAGAAAUGGACAAAAAUGGAUGUAUCUAGAACUAUAAUAUGUCUAGAUACAUCCAUUUCUCCUACAAUAAUUCCAGACGGAGGGAGUAUGUUUCAUGAAAGAAUAUUAACACAACAACUAAUUUAUGAUAACUACUGUAUCAUUUGGAUCCUAUAAAUGGCAUGUAUAUCAUCUUCCUCUGGUUUCUAUCAAUAGGAAAGCUACGCUUGAUAAUGCACUCCAUAUUGGCUUAACGAGUGAAUGAUUUGUUGUUGUCUCAUGAGGACUAUGUGAUGCGUGAUGAGGAAGAAGCGAAAGGAGCAAUGGGAUGGUGACAUGCACAUCGCCCUUGGGUAUAAGGCGGAGGUGCUUACUAUAAAGAUUGAGAAAGAGUGAGGGAGAGAGAGAGAGAGAGAGAGGAGAGAUCGAGGUAGGGAGGAAGGGGGAGAGAGAUCUUGCAUGUACACGUCGAUAGGAUAACUAUUUUUUGUUUUGAGCAAUGGGAAUAGCAGGAGAGGCUCCUACUGUUUAUAUAUGAAACCCAAAAAUGGCGGAUAUUUACACAUGAGUGGGAUUACAUAGCCAUUGUGGCUAAAGGGUGAAAAUAGAAAUUACAAGCGUAGGUUUGUUACAAAAUUGUCGAUGAAGGUGGCCACCUCAGGGGAAUUUCAGAAUCAGUAAGUUACUUUUGAUAGGAUAUCUGUGUUCUGAAAUAUUAAUGAGAUUUGGUGGUAAGUCACCAUAAGUUUGUUUCCAAUUUGUCAGGCACCAUAACUUUCAUGUCCAAUAUGUUGCAGAAAUAUUCUUUGAUAAAUAUGUUUUUAUCUCUUGAUAUUUUAGUAUGAUUGUAAAAAAAUUUAUUCACGUAUCAUUCCAAGAAGCAUUUUUAUUUGGGGGAAGAAAGAAGGGAAGAAAGAAGGGAAGAAAAGGAGAGCGCUUAAAGUUAAAAAAGAAGUCGCCAAGACAGCCCGUUGCAACGCACGGGCGUUCUACUAGAGAGGUUUUGUAACUCGUCCAAAAUCUCUUUGCGACGAGUUUCUCAUUGUCUGAUUGAUGUGGCUAUCAGGUAUUUGUUGGAUGGCAACUCUAAGCUGCAUGUUCAUUGAGAGAAUCAUGAUGAAUCUUUGAUGAACACUGUCAAAGAUGAAAAGGUGAAUUCUUCGAUUCCCCAGGCUGUCAGGGAUUUUGUACUUCCAGCAGGUUUUCCAGGUGAAUGUUGGCAUCCCAGUGUGGUUUGGUUAUGCAUCUACGCAUUGCUUUUGCUCUUUGUCAUGGAGUACAAACUGUGGAGGUUCAGGUUUACAAUCUUGGAAAUGCAGUGAUUGAUGUGUUUUCUAAUCGUAAUGCAGUAAAGAAAUUGUUUUGCAAGUUCUGUACUUUGAUUUUCUGUAUCUUACCAUUCUUACAAAGUACUGUCAAAUGUACAGCUGGAUUUUGUAUAUGGAUUUCCCUCAGUUUCUUGUAGGUUCCUGCAUAAGAGGUCAUUAUUGCAGGGUUGGAGACUGACACUAUGUUUAUCAGUACAUGCUAUUGGAAUUCCCAACAAACUUGACAGGAUGGAUCAGUCACACGUUGGUUACAUCAAGUCUUCUGAAGGUAUCCCGUAAUCUAUUAAUCAAGAUGUUUGCAGUAGUAAAUAAUGUUGUAGUGACUGAACGAUUAUCUGAUAAAUUUAAUUCAGUAAGUAUAUCAUUUACAGUAGCAUCUUAUUCUUAUGUGAUGUAAUAUAUGAUCAUAUGGAUUGCAGUAUUUGAUAGCUCCAAAAUAACUUCAAGAUUUUGCCACGUGCUCUCAAACAAUCGUAGUCCGAAAAUUUGGUGGCCAGUUGCUGCUAUCUCUACUCUGCUUCGUCCUUUCGUAAUGGCAAUAAGAAAUCUUCAUUGCUGCCGACAUGAAAUUCUAACUGAAUUUGUUAUUCAGCGGGCAAAUCCAACAUUUUUUGUACUGUAUUUGCAUGUUCCAGGAUAAUUUGGUGGCAAAAGAGCUACAUCGUUUCUCACUAGACCAACAGGCAAUACCGGAUAGGUCCAGUCCAGCCGAGACACACAUAUUCCAGUCCAACAUACUCCCUCCGUCCAAAAAAGCUUGUCCCAAGCUUUUUCGGACAGAGGGAGUUUAUAGUCCAGUCACACAUGCUCUAACGUGAUUUCACGAGAGGAAGUUAGGCCAGCAACGAUAUAUCCGUAAAGAAUAGCGACAGCUAAAGGAAACCAAUCAACAGGUAACCAUUGCGCUGUAGAGAAGUGGAACAACAUUCAUGGUACUGCUAUUGUUAAUCGAAAGAACUUUUUUUUGUUAACAUGGUACCCACUAACGUGUGCAUAUGCAUUUUUCUCCUGUAGUCCUAGAGGGAUAAAGACACAUACAAUUACGAUGGAGGUGACAGGCCUGAAAUGUGAGAAUUGAAGCAAUAUAUUCCCUUGUAUAUAUGUUUUCUCUUUUGAAAUAUAUAUCUCAAUGGUUUUCCAAUUUGUUUCCUGUAAAUCUCAUAUUUUAAUACUCCUUAGACCUUAGUAAUGCAUAGGUGUAAUAUUAGUUGAUAUUGCAAUUUUGAAGGAUCUACUUUUCUUGUA